rnacentral:rRNA from 1 species
GACGAACCGUGCGAACGUUGUUCGGAAUCACUGGGCUUAAAGGGCGCGUAGGCGGGUGUGCAAGUCUGUGGUGAAAGCCUCCAGCUUAACUGGAGAAGUGCCAUGGAUACUGCACAUCUUGAGGAGGGUAGGGGCAUCUGGAACGGUCGGUGGAGCGGUGAAAUGCGUUGAUAUCGACCGGAACUCCAGUGGCGAAGGCGAGGUGCUGGACCCUUUCUGACGCUGAGGCGCGAAAGCCAGGGGAGCAAACGGG